AUGAACGCUAGCGACAGGCCUAACACAUGCAAGUCGAGGGGCAGCACAAGGAGCAAUCUGAGGUGGCGACCGGCGCACGGGUGAGUAACACGUAUGCAACCUGCCUGUAAGCGGGGAAUAACCCGUUGAAAGACGGACUAAUACCGCAUAAUACUAAAUUACUGCAUGGUAAUUUAUUUAAACAUUUAUGGCUUACAGAUGGGCAUGCGCAUGAUUAGCUAGUUGGAGAGGUAACGGCUCCCCAAGGCAACGAUCAUUAGGGUUCUGAGAGGAAGGUCCCCACACUGGUACUGAGACACGGACCAGACUCCUACGGGAGGCAGCAGUGAGGAAUAUUGGUCAAUGGACGAGAGUCUGAACCAGCCAAGUCGCGUGCAGGAAGAAUGUCCUAAUGGAUUGUAAACUGCUUUUGCAGGGGAAUAAAGUGCAUCACGUGUGAUGUUUUGUAUGUACUCUGCGAAUAAGGAUCGGCUAACUCCGUGCCAGCAGCUGC
rnacentral:rRNA from 1 species